UAUUAACGGGCAUAUGUUUGUAGACUCAAACUUUAUACGCUUUAAAGUUCAAAAACUUGUAUUUACUGGCAUGCAAUGGAGACCUCAACAGUAUAGAGUAUUGUUGUUUAAAGUAUAGUUCCGGUCUUACUGUAUAGCCUACUGUGGAGCUUGAACCCCACUUUGUCGGUGGCAGCUCAAUAGCAGUAAGAACUAAACCGGUUUCUGAUUACUGAAACUUAAGUACAGGAAUAAUGCCUCCUGGAAGAUAUUGGCGCUGGGAGGCGAUUCAAGCGAUUAUCAUCAGUAGAAUUAUUGGUUGUUGAGAAUAUAAAAGGCGACCACAUCGGCCACAUAAUCACCAACGUAGCCUAUUACAGAUAAAUCUCAACGAAAUGGAUCGAAAGAUGGUUUUUGCUCUUCUUCUCUUGGUGGUUCUUCAAGUCUCUACGGUUUCCCAUGGAUGGGUAAGGACUGCGUUGGGGGCAGCAGGGUAUAUACACCGUCGUUAUAAUCAAAAUCCCAGUGAUCAGCUGCCUUUUAACGAAAUGGAUAACGAUGCGGAACAAGAGAUGGAAGGGGGGAGUGUUAAAGAUUUUAGGUGGCGUUGAACGGAAUAAGAGUCAACCACUCAGUGAGAAGGUGAAGUUAUCACUGAGCGAAAGGAAUUGUUGAUUCAAUAAACAACAAUAAUAAUAUGU